CGUGAGCUUCUACCUGAAUAUGAAACAGAAAUGACACCAAAUUUUGUGAAGGAAGAAAUGAGAAAGAGAUAUGGACUGAACAUUAGUUACCACAAAGCAUGGCGUUCAAUACAAUUAGCUUUUGAUGUGAAAAAUGGAAGUCCUGAACAGAACAAUGAAUUGCUUCUGUCUGAACAAGAACAGAACAAUGAAUUACUUCUGUCUGAACCAGAACAGAACUUUGAAUUGCAUCCAUUUGAACCAGAACAGAACAAGGAAUUGCUUCCAUUUGAACCAGACCAGAACAAUGAACUGCAUCAAUCUGAACCAGAACAGAGCAAUGCAUUGCUUCCGUCUGAGCCAGAACAGAAGAAAGAACUGCUUCCAUCUGAACCAGAACAGCACAAUGAAUUGCAGCUGUCUGAACCAGAAAUGAAGAAAAAAUUGGUUGUGUCUGAACCAGUACAGAACAAUGAAUUGCUUCAAUCUGAACCAGAACAGA
rnacentral:lncRNA from 1 species